rnacentral:rRNA from 1 species
AUAUUUUGAACCGCAUGGUUCAAAAGUGAAAGACGGUCUUGCUGUCACUUAUAGAUGGAUCCGCGCUGCAUUAGCUAGUUGGUAAGGUAACGGCUUACCAAGGCAACGAUGCAUAGCCGACCUGAGAGGGUGAUCGGCCACACUGGAACUGAGACACGGUCCAGACUCCUACGGGAGGCAGCAGUAGGGAAUCUUCCGCAAUGGGCGAAAGCCUGACGGAGCAACGCCGCGUGAGUGAUGAAGGUCUUCGGAUCGUAAAACUCUGUUAUUAGGGAAGAACAUAUGUGUAAGUAACUGUGCACAUCUUGACGGUACCUAAUCAGAAAGCCACGGCUAACUACGUGCCAGCAGCCGCGGUAAUACGUAGGUGGCAAGCGUUAUCCGGAAUUAUUGGGCGUAAAGCGCGCGUAGGCGGUUUUUUAAGUCUGAUGUGAAAGCCCACGGCUCAACCGUGGAGGGUCAUUGGAAACUGGAAAACUUGAGUGCAGAAGAGGAAAGUGGAAUUCCAUGUGUAGCGGUGAAAUGCGCAGAGAUAUGGAGGAACACCAGUGGCGAAGGCGACUUUCUGGUCUGUAACUGACGCUGAUGUGCGAAAGCGUGGGGAUCAAACAGGAUUAGAU